UACGAAGGGUGCAAGCGUUACUCGGAAUUACUGGGCGUAAAGUGUGCGUAGGUGGUUUGUUAAGUCUGAUGUGAAAGCCCUGGGCUCAACCUGGGAAUUGCAUUGGAUACUGGCAGGCUAGAGUGCGGUAGAGGGUAGUGGAAUUCCCGGUGUAGCAGUGAAAUGCGUAGAGAUCGGGGAGGAACAUCUGUGGCGAAGGCGAC
rnacentral:rRNA from 1 species